CUGCCCGUAGCUCAACUGGAUAGAGCACCGGCCUUCUAAGCCGGGGGUUACAGGUUCGAUCCCUGUCGGGCAGGCCA
rnacentral:tRNA from 2 species